UCCUACGGGACGCAGCAGUCGGGAAUAUUGGGCAAUGGAGGAAACUCUGACCCAGCAAUACCGCGUGAAGGAUGAAGGUCUUCGGAUUGUAAACUUCUGUUAUAAAGGAAGAAUAAAAUGACGGUACUUUAUAAGUAAGCCCCGGCAAACUAUGUGCCAGCAGCCGCGGUGAUACAUAGGGGGCAAGCGUUGUCCGGAAUGACUGGGUGUAAAGGGUGUGUAGGUGGCUUAUUAAGUUGGAAGUGAAAGCCCGGGGCUUAACUCCGGAACUGCUUUUAAAACUGGUUGGCUUGAGUGUGGGAGAG
rnacentral:rRNA from 1 species